GGGGCUGUGGCUCAAUGGUAGAGCACUCGCCUGGCAUGUGUGAGGCACUGGGUUUGAUCCUCAGCACCA
rnacentral:tRNA from 1 species